GUUAUAUGGUCAAGUGAAGAAGCGCAUACGGUGGAUGCCUUGGCAGUCAGAGGCGAUGAAAGACGUGGUAGCCUGCGAAAAGCUUCGGGGAGUCGGCAAACAGACUGUGAUCCGGAGAUGUCUGAAUGGGGGAACCCAGCCAUCACAAGAUGGUUAUCUUGUACUGAAUACAUAGGUGCAAGAGGCGAACCAGGGGAACUGAAACAUCUAAGUACCCUGAGGAAAAGAAAUCAACCGAGAUUCCCUUAGUAGUGGCGAGCGAACGGGGACCAGCCCUUAAGUUGUAUUGAGAUUAGCGGAACACUCUGGAAAGGGUGGCCAUAGUGGGUGAUAGCCCUGUACGCGAAAAUCCCUUUGCAAUGAAAUCGAGUAGGACGGGGCACGAGAAACCUUGUCUGAAUAUGGGGGGACCAUCCUCCAAGGCUAAAUACUACUGACUGACCGAUAGUGAACCAGUACCGUGAGGGAAAGGCGAAAAGAACCGCGGAGAGCGGAGUGAAAUAGAUCCUGAAACCGUAUGCGUACAAGCAGUGGGAGCCCACUUUGUUGGGUGACUGCGUACCUUUUGUAUAAUGGGUCAGCGACUUAUUUUCAGUGGCGAGCUUAACCGAAUAGGGGAGGCGUAGCGAAAGCGAGUCUUAAUAGGGCGUCUAGUCGCUGGGAAUAGACCCGAAACCGGGCGAUCUAUCCAUGGGCAGGUUGAAGGUUGGGUAACACUAACUGGAGGACCGAACCGACUACCGUUGAAAAGUUAGCGGAUGACCUGUGGAUCGGAGUGAAAGGCUAAUCAAGCUCGGAGAUAGCUGGUUCUCCUCGAAAGCUAUUUAGGUAGCGCCUCAUGUAUCACUGUAGGGGGUAGAGCACUGUUUCGGCUAGGGGGUCAUCCCGACUUACCAAACCGAUGCAAACUCCGAAUACCUACAAGUGCCGAGCAUGGGAGACACACGGCGGGUGCUAACGUCCGUCGUGAAAAGGGAAACAACCCAGACCGUCAGCUAAGGUCCCAAAGUCAUGGUUAAGUGGGAAACGAUGUGGGAAGGCUUAGACAGCUAGGAGGUUGGCUUAGAAGCAGCCACCCUUUAAAGAAAGCGUAAUAGCUCACUAGUCGAGUCGGCCUGCGCGGAAGAUGUAACGGGGCUCAAACCAUGCACCGAAGCUACGGGUAUCAUCUUAGGAUGAUGCGGUAGAGGAGCGUUCUGUAAGCCUGUGAAGGUGAGUUGAGAAGCUUGCUGGAGGUAUCAGAAGUGCGAAUGCUGACAUGAGUAACGACAAUGGGUGUGAAAAACACCCACGCCGAAAGACCAAGGUUUCCUGCGCAACGUUAAUCGACGCAGGGUUAGUCGGUCCCUAAGGCGAGGCUGAAAAGCGUAGUCGAUGGAAAACAGGUUAAUAUUCCUGUACUUCUGGUUAUUGCGAUGGAGGGACGGAGAAGGCUAGGCCAGCCUGGCGUUGGUUGUCCAGGUUUAAGGUGGUAGGCUGAGAUCUUAGGUAAAUCCGGGAUCUCAAGGCCGAGAGCUGAUGACGAGUGUUCUUUUAGAACACGAAGUGGUUGAUGCCAUGCUUCCAAGAAAAGCUUCUAAGCUUCAGGUAACCAGGAACCGUACCCCAAACCGACACAGGUGGUUGGGUAGAGAAUACCAAGGCGCUUGAGAGAACUCGGGUGAAGGAACUAGGCAAAAUGGCACCGUAACUUCGGGAGAAGGUGCGCCGGUGGAGGUGAAGCAUUUACUGCGUAAGCCCCUGCCGGUCGAAGAUACCAGGCCGCUGCGACUGUUUAUUAAAAACACAGCACUCUGCAAACACGAAAGUGGACGUAUAGGGUGUGACGCCUGCCCGGUGCCGGAAGGUUAAUUGAUGGGGUUAGCGCAAGCGAAGCUCUUGAUCGAAGCCCCGGUAAACGGCGGCCGUAACUAUAACGGUCCUAAGGUAGCGAAAUUCCUUGUCGGGUAAGUUCCGACCUGCACGAAUGGCGUAACGAUGGCGGCGCUGUCUCCACCCGAGACUCAGUGAAAUUGAAAUCGCUGUGAAGAUGCAGUGUAUCCGCGGCUAGACGGAAAGACCCCGUGAACCUUUACUAUAGCUUUGCACUGGACUUUGAAUUUGCUUGUGUAGGAUAGGUGGGAGGCUUUGAAGCGUGGACGCCAGUCUGCGUGGAGCCAACCUUGAAAUACCACCCUGGCAACUUUGAGGUUCUAACUCAGGUCCGUUAUCCGGAUCGAGGACAGUGUAUGGUGGGUAGUUUGACUGGGGCGGUCUCCUCCUAAAGAGUAACGGAGGAGUACGAAGGUGCGCUCAGACCGGUCGGAAAUCGGUCGUAGAGUAUAAAGGCAAAAGCGCGCUUGACUGCGAGACAGACACGUCGAGCAGGUACGAAAGUAGGUCUUAGUGAUCCGGUGGUUCUGUAUGGAAGGGCCAUCGCUCAACGGAUAAAAGGUACUCCGGGGAUAACAGGCUGAUACCGCCCAAGAGUUCAUAUCGACGGCGGUGUUUGGCACCUCGAUGUCGGCUCAUCACAUCCUGGGGCUGAAGCCGGUCCCAAGGGUAUGGCUGUUCGCCAUUUAAAGUGGUACGCGAGCUGGGUUUAGAACGUCGUGAGACAGUUCGGUCCCUAUCUGCCGUGGACGUUUGAGAUUUGAGAGGGGCUGCUCCUAGUACGAGAGGACCGGAGUGGACGAACCUCUGGUGUUCCGGUUGUCACGCCAGUGGCAUUGCCGGGUAGCUAUGUUCGGAAAAGAUAACCGCUGAAAGCAUCUAAGCGGGAAACUUGCCUCAAGAUGAGAUCUCACUGGAACCUUGAGUUCCCUGAAGGGCCGUCGAAGACUACGACGUUGAUAGGUUGGGUGUGUAAGCGCUGUGAGGCGUUGAGCUAACCAAUACUAAUUGCCCGUGAGGCUUGACCAUAUAACACCCAAGCAAUU
rnacentral:rRNA from 1 species